UAUAUAAAACAUCUUCCAUGUACAAAAUGGUAAUUUCUAGCACAAUUUUUAAGAUGGCAUAUGAAGAGUCAGUUAAAAUCUAUAAUUUUUUUGUCAUUUUCUUCCAUUUAUGCCCCUCUCCCCUCACACGGCCUCUCUCUUCUCCCCCAAAAACCUAUCACAUGCCUUCAGUUUCCAAUUGCAAAUGAAGCGUCUUGGCUUCCGGUGGUUUCCAUCGCCCCCUCUACUCUCUAUAAUACCUAUUCAGAUCGGAGAAAAAGAGAGUUGGAGAGAGAGAUGGAGCUACAAACGGAGAAAGAGAGAAUAUGAUGGAUCCGGUCGGUGAUUUCGAUGACCGGUCUACGGCGGUAUAGCCACCACCACGAAAACGUUAGCGACAAACAGAGUAGUCUUUCGUCACCACGCUUGGUUUCAAACCCUAAUGAUAUUGGCCAAAGUGGGCCGACGACUCGACGAGAGAUCAAUUCGUCUCCAAUUUCUACAGGAAAGUGAUCCAAGAUAUCUUAAAACUCAUAAAAUUAGGGUUUGAAAUUUGUGAAACUGAAAUUAGGCUGAGGUUGGUUACAGCGGCUGAGGUGGCGUCUUUGUCGACCACCAGCCACCAGUACGCCGGUAAAGCCAAUUGGAUUAGGAGAUCAAGACGAAUGAUUAUCGAAAACAACCAAAAUUGGUUAAUGGAAUGGGAGGCUGUAGCGAAAGCAUAUCACAGCUUUUAGUGUAUAUGUGUUAGCAGAAACUUACCCCUAACUUGCCUUAUGUGAAGUCUUUGUUUUAGGUUGGUUUAAGUGGUUGAAGAAUGCAACUUCGCCCAAACAGGAUUUGUGCAGGGAUAAGCGGAUUAGAGAGGUGUAUGUGCCGCAAUUUGAUCAGUUGCCUGUUGAUAUGAUGACUGGUGGUGAUCAAUGUGGUGCCAGAGUGGUUCAGGCCGAUCUCCAUAUCGGUGAAGCCACUGAGCAUGAGGCAUGGUAAACGGGCCGGGCGGGUUUGGGUUGCGGGUCAGAAUGGGUAGUUCAAAACAGGUUGGUUCAAGAAGGGUUAUUUUUUUCGGGUCCGGCUUGAGCUCUUAACCCAAUGCUCGACGUGUAAGCAACUCUGCGCGUGUGAAAUCUGAAAAAAAGAAAACCAAAUGGCGGACGCAAAGAAGAAAGAAACUACGGUUACCAUUGACAAGAAACUUCUGCAGGCUUUUAGGUUUUUUGACCGAAAUCGAUUGGGCUACAUCAGGGUUUAAGAUUUACGACUGAUCCUGCAUGCAUUGGGGAGGGGUGCGGCUGUGAUGGAGGAGAGGGGUGGAGGGGCAGCUGGUUGUGAGGGAUGACAAUGGGGCGGGGAUGCCGGCUAUAUGCGGCACCGACAUAAUAAGACAGAGCUUUUCAGAAAAAACAAACACCUCCUAAACAAAAACGUCUUCAAAAUCACCUGGACAAAGACCCAUUUCAUUAGAAAGGGCUGUCUCCAUCAUCCGGUUUGCGCUUUAUUAUGUUACUGAGCUAUAUUAGUACACUAAGUCAUUUAGGUUAUAACAAGUUAUGUUAUGUGUUAGUGACUUAUGUAUGAAGAUAGUUUCAUUAAUACUGAUAUGGGCCUUAAUAGGCUUUUGUAUGUGUUAAUGGAAUAUAAUAUGUUACACUAAAAAUUUUAUGACACAAAAAUCAUGUAAGGUGUUAAUGAGUUAUGGUUGAUGAUAUAUCUUAUAAUUGACUGUUAUGAAACUUAAUGGGUAUGGUCUAUUGGAUUACACUGAGCCAUUUUAGGUUAAUUAUGUUUUAAUCCGCGAAACUAAAUUAUUUUUAAAACUUUAAUAUAAAAUUAUGUUUUUUUAUCUUUUCCUUUUAAUCCGCGAAACUGCUAAAACUGAACCGCCUUACUGUCAAAACUGGUUCUGAUUGUUUUAUUUUCAAAGUUGUCGUUAGUAACUCGAACCUAAAUUGCUGUCAAAACCAGGCAGUGAACAUCCCUGCUUUCUAUCACCCCAUUUCUAAAUCUAUACCAACAUAAUAAUCACACUUACAUUACCAACUUGUGGUUAACAUAGAAAAACAAUCCUUUCUACACUUCACAGCGAAACUGCACAAAAGUUUCCUUUUAUAAGAAUACUCAAUUCCAUGAAAAGUGCCAACACAUUAUGCAAGUCUUUGCAUUGCAAUAUGGAGAUGGUUUAAUAGGCAAGCAACUGAUUUGGGAUGAUUUCUUAACCAUGACUCGGUCAGCAAUCAACAGCAAAAAACAUCAGAGACGGGUUAGUUCCCGAAUGAAGUUCGAGCAUCCGUCACAUAACAGCAGUGACCCGCAUACGAAGGCGGAUCAAGGAGGAAAGAGUUUCUCAGGACCUGAAGAUGUUGAGGCAUUGCGUUCCUAAUGAUUUAAAACUUUAUUAUUGGCAUUUCUUUUGUUAAAACAUUAUAAUCUUUAGCUCCAUUUUUAACAAGUUUUAUGUUAUAACGCG